AUCUCUUUAGUUUUUUGUAGAGCAAAGUAUGCUAUGAAAUUUGUGUUCAGCAUUUGUAAUACACUUCUAAAGGUAUCUAUAUUGAUAGUCACUGAUAUACGCACAGUUGUAGUAGGAUGUUUUUUGCUUAGACUGAGGAAAGGAAGUCUAGGAAUUAAGGUGUUAAGGAUCAGGUAGGAAUCAUGUAGAAUGCUGUUUCUGUGUAUGCUUGUCUUGGAAGCUGGGUAGAUGUUCUCCAAUCUAAUGUGAAAAUCAAUAUUUUGGAAGCACAUGAUCUAUUAUUUCAAAACAGAUUCUUAAAUCUGUUCUCUUCUUUCUUUUUUCCUAAUUAAUACUUUUUUACACAUCUCUUGAGCUAUUUUGUAUUACUCCUUUUUGCUGUAAGACCCCUUUGCCUUAACUUAUUUAGCAACAGUACUUCUGAACCAUAUCACUUUGUAAAGGGUGAGGUUUUGAAUUUUACUGAGUGAUCAUGAAAUGCACAGUUAGAUGGCAUUACAGCUAAACUAAUAUGGAAGCACACGGAAGAUGUAACUGUAAAAGGAAUCAGGGGAUCAGACACCAAAAUUUUUCCAUUAGUUUCAAUGUGAGCAAGAUAGAACCCUCAGUUGCUUUUAGUAAAGAGUGAUAAAAAGAUAUCUAAUAUUUUAGUUUGAUUGUUUCAGAGCCCAAACCUGCACUCAUUACUUCUAAAGAAAUCUCGCUGCAGUCAAUUUUUGUUGCAUAAAGUCUGCAGGACUGCAUCUCUAAGAAGUUUGUAUCACUACUUGCUUCAUAAAAAUCCAUAUUUCCAGUUUGUUUAAAACUCUGCUAUAAAUUUUUUAGUUAAAUUGUGAAAGUCAAAUUUUAACUGCAAAGAACUGGCAUUUUAAAAAAUGUAGGUAACAAAAAUGAGAACACUGCCUAUCAGAAACAGAAAAAUCAUUUCCUAACCAUUUUUGUCAUGUGUUUUAGCCACAUCAGCAUGAUUGACUUUUACCGUUCCAUUUUUGGUGGUGUGGUCUGUCAUUCAAUCAACAUGUAUACAUGUAAUUUACACAUAUGGAAUAGCUGCUUGACAUGAGAUAUAACUUCUCUAGAGCCACUGUAGCCCAUUGGGCGUCUAGGGUCUGAUUGAAAGCCCAUUGAAGUCAAUGGAAAGACAAAUUAGUGGAAAGUCAAUGGUCUUUGGAUCAGGCCUCUAAUGUACAUAUUUAAAAGAGACAUUUAAAAUGUAUUUACAUAGUAGACCAUCACAGUCCAUCCUGCAGGCUUCACAUAUUUUAAAAGCUCCCCUGAUCUUGGUUGGAGCUGUGCAUCUCUGGUAAGGAGCCCCUCAGCUUCCCUUAAAUCAAUAGGGGUUUGGCACGUUGGCACUUUCAGCCUCCACAGAAUCGGGCCCAUUACCAUUGGGAUCAUUAAUGUCAUUUGUGUAAAUAAAAUUUAUAAUUUGCAUCACAUAACUGACAGGGAAUGUCAAUAGUUACAUGGGGCCUUUCUCGGUCCUUACUCAGGCAACUUCAUAUUGAAGUUAGUGGGCAUUUGGCCUAAGUAAGAACUUCAGGACUCAUUGAAACUCCAUUGGGACUCUGGAUGCUGAAUUCAGAGGGGACAGGCUAGCAGUUUCAGGAUUUAGCCUGCACAGGCUACUGUACCAAUUCUGUUUUUCAUUUUUUUUUUAUUAAAAAUUACUGUUAAGGGGCAGACUAGCAUCCAUUUUAGUUUUCCAUUGGUCUGAUGCCUUCACAGAAACUUUAAAACAACAUUUCCCACUAAAAUAACACUUUUCACUUUUCUUUAUGGCCCCCAGUUUUUAUGGAGUUAAAUUAGUUUAAUUCUUGUUUGUGCAUCAUUAUCAUUAGUGAGAGCAGCACAGCUGGAAAUAGUACUUUUCAAUCAAUUUCCAACAGAACCAGGAAGGGAACUUACAGCAUAUUUUUGGGAGGCUCACACAACAGUCCCAGUCCUGAGAGGUGUUGGGUGUUCUCAGGCUUGUUGUCUUGACUUCACAUGGAGUUGAGGAUGCCCGGCACCUCCCAAAAGGCACUUGCCACAUUUCAACAUUAAGUCCUUUAAUGGGAGUCGAGGGGGCUCAGCACGAUUCAGGAUCAGGCCCCAAAGAGUAAUGACUGGGGUUUUUUUUAAUGUCUUGAUGAAAUUCACCAGAGAGAAGAGGGCCCAGAAGGCAAGACUCUCCCCAGGACUUGCACAUUAAGGGUGUAUGUGGUCUGGAGGCCCUUACAUGGGUCCUCUGAUCUGGGCUGAAUUUCAUCUUUGGCAACAAUGUUGGAUUUGUGUUUCAAACAUACCUAGACAUCCCCUCCACAUUCUAGAGCUCAGAUUCAGCUGCCUUGCAUGGAAAGGUGCAUGGAGGAGAAAAGGGGACACAUCUAGUACCUAAAUCUCCAAGUGCCUCCAAGCCCUGUCCUCCAUGAUUAGAGCUAUGCCCAGACUCUUGUGGGACAGGGUCUGCUGCAGGGGCGAUUGGAGCAUUUUAGCAUACAUCCCUUGUGUCUCACACAGAUAACUACACCUGCCUUCGCAGGCUUUGGAAAGUGCAUGCUGGAGUGGCAGCUCUGCCACCCUUUAAAGAGGUGCAGCACAUGCUUCCCCUCGGGCCUGGCCAGUGUAAAGGAUGGGGACAAGGUCUUACUGCUUUCUGGCCUUUUGUCAGGAGUUGCCGCCGGUGGUACUAAUAAGGAGCAGUGGUAAUGCUCCCUGUGAGAAUUCAGCUGUAAUCAUUAGGGCCCUACCAAAUUCACAGACAUGAAAAACGCAUCACAGACCGUGAAGUCUGGUCUCCCACCGUGAAGUCUGGUCUUUUGUGUGCUUUGCCCCUACACUAUACAGAUUUCAUGGGGAGACCAGCUUUUCUCAAAUUGGGGGUCCUGACCCAAAAGGGAGUUGCAGGGGGGUUGCAAGGUUAUUUUAGGGGGGCCACAGUACUGCCACCUUUACUUCUGCGCUGCCUCCAGUGGAGGCAGGAGAGUGGCGAUUGCUAGCCGGAGAGCGCCAGCUGGUGGCUGAGCGCCCCGCCUGCAGAAGUGCAGAAGUAAGGGUGCUCAUACCGUACCGUGCCAUCCUUACUUCUGCGCUGCUGCUGGCGGCGGCUCUGCCUUCAGAGCUGGGCUCCGGGCCAGCAGCCACCGCUCUCCAGCUGCCCAGCUCUGAAGGCAGCACCACUGCCAGCAGCAGUGCAGAAGUAAGGAUAUCAGAACCGCAAUCCCCCCAUCCCCUCCAACUCCUUUUUGGGUCAGGACUCCUACAAUUACAACACCAUGGAAUUUAAAUAACCGAAAUCAUUACAUUUAUUAUUUUUUAAAUCCUAUGACCGUGAAAUUGAUCAAAAUGGACCCAAUGAAUUUGGUAGGUCCCUAGUAAUAAUGUCAGUGCAGGUGAAGUACUGGCAGGGUGUGGUGUCAUGUGUCAGUAAACUGACACAGGUGUGUCUGAUUUCUGUGCGUGUUAGACACGUAAAUCUCUUUGAGGAUCUGGACCUAAAACACCUUAGAUUGAAAUGGUUCAGAUAGUCCUCCUAAUGUGAACCUCUGACCUUUUGAAGUCUUCCAGAAUCUAUUGCUUCCGGGAGCUGUCUCAGGAACUGUGGGAUAAGUACUCAGAUGGCAUUUCACCUGAAACAGUUUAGAACAGCUCUAGUAUAGAUGUGGGACAAAACUGCAGCACAUCACACCAUGAGUCUGUCACAUCCAGCGUGGAUGCACUGCACCGUUUGUGCUAAAGAUCAAUGUAUAAAGUUCCAAAUGAGGCCCUAAUUCAGGAAAGCAUAAUGGACCAGACUUUUAAAAUAAUUUAGGAAUUUAAAGAAGCAGAGGCACACCCAUUCAGAUUUUCAAAAGCUCUUAGGUGUGUUCGUCUCCUUGAAACCAACAAGAGAUAGAUGCCUAAAAAGCGCUUGUGAAAAUCCCACUAGACACAUACCGAAGCAUUUUCCUUAACUGGGGCCUCUGGCUCUGGGGACUAAUUUUGCUCCCCUUGAAAUGUUAACGGGAGCAGGAUCAGGCUCUGUAAUACUAAUUCUUCAUACAGAUUGAAGCACUUAUGUUCUCUGCUGAUAAUCUGGUCUAUGUGGUGGUGCUUUCUAGAUUUAAUUGAAUAAAAAAACUGAGUGAAACAGCGAAUCAGGAGUAGGAAAUAUAUAUAAUGAGGAAAAGGAACUGCUUAAAAUCCCAGUGAAAACAGAGUAUUCAUCAAAAUUACUGCAUUCUCUCUAGACAUAAUUUAUCUGAGAAAUUAUAAUCAGUUAAAUUAGCACAUGCUUGAAAUCAAAUGCUGCCGUGUGCUGCAAAGCCAAGGAACAUUUGAACUAGCAAAUUCACUAUUCAUACAUUCUUAUUAGUAAAUCAAAGCUUUUGAAGUCAAGAUUAAUAUUUAGGUCAUAGCAAAAGUGAUUUUUAUUAUUGGCAAGUGGGUCCUACUGCAUUAUGUCUUCAUAUUUGCAAGUUAUUGCACCCUAGCUAGUAUUUUCAUUGCUGCCUUACGUUCAUUUGCUGCAAAUCCCUCUCAAAACUGUGUGUACUGGUUAUAACAUUAAUGAUGAUGAUAACUCAAACUAAAAUUUAAGGUGAAAGCUUUACAGUUAUAUUUCAGAGAAUCAUUACAAAAAGCUAACUCUUGUUUUCAGCAUGUAGACUUAAUUAUGCAUGGAAUGAUGUAAUAUACUAGGUAUAAUAAAAUAUGUAAAACAUAAGGGCAUUUGUACUUGUCUAAUAACAUAGAGUGGCACAGCUUUCAGUUAUACUCAUGCAGCUUCAUUGACAUCAUGACGGUUGUGUGGGUGUAAUUGAGAGCAAUGUGUUUAGCACAUAGUUUGUAGUUCAGGGUCAAAUCUGGGGCCACAUAUUCGCUCCGACAAGUAGUUCCAUUGACUUCAGUAGCAAUUCAUCUGUGAGUAAAGCAAGCAGGAUGAGGCCUUUCCUUUAAAUAGCCCUCCUUUUAAACAUCUUUCAUGAAUAAUUACAUUCUUUUUUGUUUAAUGGAAACAGUAAAAUAAUUACAAGGAUUAAUUAUGCCAUUUCCCCAAUAACCUUAAAUGUGUCUUCUAGUAAUUACAGGCAUUAACUUCCAUGUUAUCCCCAGCAUUAAUGAUAGUAAUUACUAUUUUAUUUCUCCAAAAGCCCAUGGCUUUGGCAUUGUACAAGUUGGUGCAACAUGGCUUAUAAAUCUAUACACCACAUAGCACAAGCUAGGAAGAUAACAUGCAUCACCAUUCAGGCGCAAUAAUUUCCUUUUGUUAUCGCCAUAUGGUAUCAAGGCAGUGGUGGUGUAGCUGUGUUGGUCCCAGGACAUUAGACAGAAAAGGUGCGUGAGGUAAUAUCUUUUACUGGACCAACUUUUGUUGGUGAGAGAGACAAGUUGUGAGCUUAUGCAGAGCUGAAGAAGAGCUCUGUGUCAGCUCGAAAGCCUGUGUCUCUCUCACCGACAGAAGUUGGUCCAAUAAAAGAUAUUACCUCACCCACCUUGUCUCUCUAAGGUAAUAGUAUAGCUGUAGCUCCCACAGAUGGUCAUUCAGAGUCUGUUUCCAGUUUCAUAUGAUCCCCAUCUUCAGGACUUCAUUAUUUCGUUUAUAUUGAUUCAUAUCAGAGUAAAUUUAUCUAACAAUAUGAUUAAAUAGGGAAGAAAGUCUUUUCAAAAAAUGUUCAGUAUGAUGGAACAUGAAGAAUUGGGCCCUUUGUUUAUAAUGUUUAAUUUUUAAGCUUCAGGUAGGAAACAAAAAACAUGCAAAUACUGAUUUCUCAACAUGGAGCUAGCUAAAAUAAAUGAGAUUGCCCAAGUACUGGAAUUUGAAAACUGGGAGUUGAGCAUGCCUAAAAAUGCAGUGCUUCUAUUGACAUUGAUGUCUCUUUGGAGAAUUGAUUUCUUAUUAAUUAAUUAUUAUUUAUAUAGCACAAAGAGAGUGACAGGCUACAAGAUUGUCUCUCUCAACUGAACAAUUAUCUAAGAACUGUUGAUGUUCUACAAAGGCCAAUGGGUCCACAGACCCAACAACAUAUGGUCAGUUAAAGUGUGUCCUACAGUGUAGAAACAAUGCCAAUCAAGUGUGCUUAGCUCGUGCUGGGAGCUAUGUGGGAGACCUGCACUUUUUAUCCUGCAUUUAAAAUACAAAAUAAACAAUGUGAGAAAAAUCAGAGUUGAAGUUGACACUUCAUCUUCAGCUUACCCCACAGUGUCUACAUAUUGUAAAUAAUACUGUAUGCAAAAUUACCACUGUCCUUACUACAGCUGAGCAAACAUUUGGCAAAAAAUGCAGAUUUGGGUCGACCAAAACAUUUCAUGAAUUUGGGUUGAUUUGCCAAAUUGUUUCAGUUGUUAAAAAAGAAAAAAAUCAAAAUGUUUGUUUAAAAACUCAAAAUCAAAAUAAAAUGUUUCAUUUCAAACAAAACACGUCAUUGGACCCAAAAUGAUGGGUUUGUUUUAAUUUUUGGAACUGCCAGUUAACUGAGAAACCAUUUCUUCACACAACCCAACUAACACCUAAGCAGUACCAAGACACAUGAGAUUCCUCUAGAGGGGUUGGAGGAAUAAAGGACACAAGACUAACUCUGGGUCGAUCCAUCCCUUCCUAUAGGAAAACACACACAAGGUAGCCCUGAGUGGAAACUCCAUGAGGAUCCAUCCCCUCAUGUCGUUCUUCUCCCCUAUUAUUCAGCUGGCAAAUGUGGUGAAUACUCAGAAGAACUGCUGGGGUUCCACACUAGCUCUGACCCCUGGCAGGCCCCCUACAACUGUCCCUGGCCCCAUCUCUUCCUGGGA